rnacentral:rRNA from 1 species
CGCAGCCGCGGUAAUUCCAGCUCCAAUAGCGUAUAUUAAAGUUGUUGCAGUUAAAAGCUCGUAGUUGAAUUUCGGGAUCAAUACGUCGGUCGUGCUUUCGGGUACGUACUGGCGUCAUUGGUUUCUCCUUUCUGACGAACCAUGAUGUCAUUAAUUUGGUGUUAUGGGGAGUUAGGACUGUUACUUUGAAAAAAUUGAGUGUUUAAAGCAGGCAUUAGCUUGAAUACAUUAGCAUGGAAUAAUGAAAUAGGACGUUUGAUCCUAUUUUGUUGGUUUCUAGGAUCAACGUAAUGAUUAAUAGGGAUAGUUGGGGCAUUAGUAUUCAAUUGUCAGAGUGAAAUUCUUGGAUUUAUUGAAGACUAACUACUGCGAAAGCAUUUGCCAAGGAUGUUUUCAUUAAUCAAGACGAAAGUUAGGGAUCGAAGACGAUCAGAUACCGUCGUAGUCUUAACUAUAAACUAUGCCGACUAGGGAUUCGGAUGAUGUUAUUUUUAAUGACUUCAUUUCGGCGCCUUAGGGA